rnacentral:lncRNA from 1 species
CAUCGCCACUUUUGAAAAUAGCCACUUCCGAAAUGUCCCAGGCCAGUUUGUCAAAGAUUACUCAGAAAUAUGACAAGUUCGCCGUCCAGUUGAAGCUUUCCUUUUUAUCGCUGCUGAUGUCCACUAGCCACAAAAUGCUAUUCGAAAGCAAAGAAUAUCAGGGUAAACAAAGGUGAUUUGGUCGGUGUAUAGGCUGCUGGGGCCUAUUUACGGGUUUACACCCCAUACAAUGCGGAGCAUACGCGACUAAAUUUCAAUGGAAUGCCCACAGCUCCACCCACAGUUCUUCUCACUGUUCUGAAAGCCGGGGUCAAGACAGUGACGAUUGUCCAGCACCAACCCCAAAUCUGUUUAUGUUCAAGUUCUUCGCACCGUUAAGGGGCCUUGUGAACGUAAGGUGUCGUGACCACGGACGUGUAUAAUAAAACCUUGACUCGCAAUGCCCUUAAUCAGCUUAUAGAGAUCAUUGAAUCCACUAGCAGCCAUUUUACCGAGCCGAAUACAAACCUUUCCUAGCGAUGUCUGUCUUAGUUCUUCCUGACGUCAAUACAAGCAAGCCAGCCUACGCAUUUGUAUUCGGCUUGGUAAAAUGGCCGCUGGUUGGCUUCUUUUUCAUACAAAAGCGUUGCAAGCCCAGGUUUUUUUUAUAUACGUCCGUAGUCGUGACACGCACAGGAGGCCGAAUUACGAUGGGUCUUUCACACCAAAAGUACAACCAGUCGUUUUCACAGUGGUAAAGAAGACUGGUGGAUCCGACGUAGCUACAGUGAACCUCUUAUCGAUAUUCCUGUAACUCUCAGUACAGAGGUCAAAAGUACUAUACUUUCGGUAAUGCCAGAAUACAACCAGGGUUUCAUGCCCUCUGCAUCACAUAGACUCCCAGCUCCUACGACUGAUUUGUAUGAUGCUGCUACCUUGGAGAUGACCUUUCCAAAGCUACCAGACAAAUGUUCUCAAAUUCUGACAACCAUGACUGUUUCCCCAGAGGAGCUAUCCGCCCGAGUUGAAGUGCACCCCCAAGCGGCAAAAGAAAGACAGAUGGUAGAAUACAAAUACAGAAUGGUUUGAGGGAAAGUACCGCUUCGCGUCGGGAGGUAGUCAAGCUGACCUACACCUCGGGGCAAGUAAUUCCCACUA